AUGAACGCUGGCUACAGGCUUAACACAUGCAAGUCGUGGGGAAACGGCAUUAUGUGCUUGCACAUUCUGGACGUCGACCGGCGCACGGGUGAGUAUCGCGUAUCCAACCUGCCCCUUACUUGGGGAUACCCCGUGAAAGACGGCCUAAUACCCGAUGUGUUUCAUUGACGGCAUCCGAUAUGAAACAAAGGUUUUCCGGUAAGGGAUGGGGAUGCGUCUGAUUAGCUAGUUGGCGGGGCAACGGCCCACCAAGGCGACGAUCAGUAGGGGUUCUGAGAGGAAGGUCCCCCACAUUGGAACUGAGACACGGUCCAAACUCCUACGGGAGGCAGCAGUGAGGAAUAUUGGUCAAUGGACGUAAGUCUGAACCAGCCAAAGUAGCGUGCAGGAUGACGGGCCCCUAAUGGGGUUGUAAAAC
rnacentral:rRNA from 1 species